GAUGAACGCUGGCGGCGUGCUUAACACAUGCAAGUCGAACGGUGAAGCUCAGCUUGCUGGGUGGAUCAGUGGCGAACGGGUGAGUAACACGUGAGCAACCUGCCCCUGACUCUGGGAUAAGCGCUGGAAACGGUGUCUAAUACUGGAUAUGUACCACGAUCGCAUGGUCUGUGGUUGGAAAGAUUUUUCGGUUGGGGAUGGGCUCGCGGCCUAUCAGCUUGUUGGUGAGGUAAUGGCUCACCAAGGCGUCGACGGGUAGCCGGCCUGAGAGGGUGACCGGCCACACUGGGACUGAGACACGGCCCAGACUCCUACGGGAGGCAGCAGUGGGGAAUAUUGCACAAUGGGCGCAAGCCUGAUGCAGCAACGCCGCGUGAGGGAUGACGGCCUUCGGGUUGUAAACCUCUUUUAGCAGGGAAGAAGCCACUCGGGUGAAUAGCCCAGAGGGUGACGGUACCUCCAGAAGAAGCCCCGGCUAACUACGUGCCAGCCGCCGCCGUAAA
rnacentral:rRNA from 1 species